rnacentral:tRNA from 1 species
GGCCUGAUAGUUCAGUGGUAGAAUUCUUGCUUUGGGUUUCACUUGCCAAUGGCUAGAGCUCACAUGUAAGAGGUCUCCGGUUCGAUCCCGGAUUAGGCCC